AGUACUGAGAGCCUGUCCUCCAUGUUUUAUAAGUAUUGACAUAACACUGUGUUAACAAUGCAUCCACAGAGCUUGGCUGAAGAGGAAAUAAAGGCAGAGCAGGAGGUGGUGGAGGGGAUGGACAUCUCCACUCGAUCCAAAGAUCCUGGCUCUGCUGAACGUGCAGCACAAAAACGGAAAUUUCCCAGCCCUCCACAUUCCUCCAAUGGCCACUCACCUCAAGAUGCAUCAACAAGUCCUAUAAAAAAGAAAAAGAAGCCUGGUCUAUUGAACAGUAAUAAUAAAGAGCAGUCAGAACUAAGACAUGGUCCGUUUUACUAUAUGAAGCAGCCACUCACCACAGACCCUGUUGAUGUUGUACCGCAGGAUGGACGGAAUGAUUUCUAUUGCUGGGUUUGUCAUCGGGAAGGCCAAGUCCUCUGCUGUGAGCUCUGUCCUCGGGUUUAUCAUGCUAAGUGUCUGAAACUGACAGCCGAACCAGAGGGGGAUUGGUUUUGCCCAGAAUGUGAGAAAAUCACAGUUGCAGAAUGCAUAGAAACACAGAGUAAAGCAAUGACAAUGCUCACCAUCGAACAGCUAUCAUAUCUACUGAAGUUUGCACUACAGAAAAUGAAACAGCCAGGGACAGAGCCAUUUCAAAAGCCAGUUUCACUGGAUCAACACCCAGAUUAUGCAGAAUAUAUCUUUCAUCCAAUGGACCUUUGUACAUUAGAGAAGAAUGUUAAAAAGAAAAUGUACGGUUGCACUGAAGCAUUUUUGGCUGAUGCCAAAUGGAUUUUGCACAACUGCAUUAUUUACAAUGGGGGAAAUCACAAAUUGACACAAACAGCAAAAGUCAUCAUCAAAAUCUGUGAGCAUGAGAUGAAUGAAAUUGAAGUAUGUCCGGAAUGUUAUUUAGCUGCUUGCCAAAAACGCGAGAAUUGGUUUUGUGAGCCUUGUAGCAAUCCCCACCCUUUGGUCUGGGCUAAACUCAAAGGCUUUCCAUUCUGGCCUGCUAAAGCACUGAGGGAUAAAGAUGGGCAAGUCGAUGCCCGUUUCUUUGGCCAACAUGACAGGGCCUGGGUUCCAAUAAAUAAUUGCUACCUCAUGUCUAAAGAAAUUCCUUUUUCUGUGAAAAAGACUAAAAGCAUCUUCAAUAGUGCAAUGCAAGAAAUGGAGGUUUAUGUUGAUAACAUUCGUAGAAAAUUUGGAGUAUUUAAUUAUGCACCUUUCCGGACACCAUAUACUCCCAACAAUCAAUACCAAAUGUUGUUAGACCCUGCAAACCCAGCUGCUGGAACUGCAAAGACAGACAAACAAGAGAAAAUCAAACUAAAUUUUGAUAUGACAGCGUCACCCAAGAUUCUGAUGAGCAAGUCCAUGCUGGGCAGUAGCACAGGCCGCAGGAUUUCACUGACAGAUAUGCCACGGUCACCAAUGAGUACAAACUCCUCAGUUCACACUGGCUCUGAUGUUGAACAGGAUGCAGAGAAAAAAGCAACUUCCAGUCAUUUUAGUGCCAGUGAAGAAUCCAUGGACUUCAUUGAGAAAAAUACAGCUUCUCCAGCACCAACAAGAACAGGUCAAUCAGGGAGCUUGUCAGGCAGCCCCAAACCUUUCUCUCCUCAAGCAUCAACGCCAAUUUCUGCUAAGCAAGAAAGAACUUCCACGCCAGGAAGCAUUCUGAAUCUUAACCUUGACCGCAGCAAGGCUGAGAUGGAUCUGAAGGAGCUGAGUGAGUCGGUGCAGCAGCAGAGCACCCCCGUGCAGCUCAUCUCCCCCAAGCGCCAGAUCCGCAGCAGGUUCCAGCUCAACCUUGACAAGACCAUCGAGAGCUGUAAGGCACAGCUGGGAAUAAAUGAAAUAUCUGAAGCUGUUUAUACUGCAGUAGAACACAGUGACUCUGAAGAUUCUGAAAAAUCUGAUACCAGUGACAGUGAAUAUAGUGAUGAGGAUCAGAAAUCAAAGAAUGAUCAAGAGGAUGGGGAGGACAAGGAAGGUGCAAGAAGUGACAAAGAAUCAUUGAGCUUGAAAAAAAAACCCAAGCCUCCAGCACAGAAUGAAGACAAGGAGGAACUUAAAAGCACAAGUCCAGAAGUGGAGAAAACAGAAGAACAGGUCAAGGAAAAGGCUGUUUCAGAUACUGAAAAAGAAUUUUCUGAAAAGGGAAAGAGUUUACAGCAUCCUGCAAAAGAAAAGCUGAAAGGGAAAGAUGAAACAGACUCUCCAACCGUGCAUCUAGGACUGGACUCUGAUUCUGAGAGUGAACUUGUCAUCGAUCUAGGAGAUGAUCAUUGUGCCCGUGAAGGAAGGAAAAACAAGAAAGAAUCUAAAGAAUCUUCUCCUAAACAAGAUGUUGUAGGUAAAACUCCACCUUCCUCCAGUGCAAGCACCCAGCCUCUACCAGAAACUCCAGUGCUCACCCGCUCUGCAUCACAGACCCCCCCAGCUGGUGUGACAGCAACCACCAGUGCUGCUUCUACUGUCAGUGCUCCCUCUGCUGCCACAGGGAGCCCUGUGAAAAAGCAGAGGCCUCUGCUGCCCAAGGAGACUGCCCCUGCUGUGCAGAGGGUGGUGUGGAAUUCUUCAAACAAAUUCCAGACAUCUUCUCAGAAGUGGCACAUGCAGAAGGUACAGAGGCAGCAGCAGCAGCAGAGCCAGCAGUCUCAGUCACAGCAGCCUCAGUCCUCUCAGGGGACAAGAUACCAGACAAGACAAGCAGUUAAAGCUGUGCAGCAAAAAGAGAUCACCCAGAGCACUUCCACAUCCACUAUAACCCUGGUCACAAGCACUCAGCCCAUUUCCAUGGUUACCAGCUCUGGAUCUGCAAGCACACUUUCUUCUUCACUCAGCACAGACUUGCCAAUUGCAACAGCUUCAGCUGAUGUGGCUGCAGAUAUUGCUAAAUACACCAGCAAAAUGAUGGAUGCCAUCAAAGGAACAAUGACUGAAAUAUAUAAUGAUCUUUCAAAAAAUACUACUGGAAGUACAAUAGCUGAGAUCCGGCGUUUGAGGAUUGAGAUAGAAAAACUUCAGUGGUUACAUCAACAGGAACUUUCAGAAAUGAAACAUAAUCUAGAACUGACAAUGGCUGAAAUGCGUCAGAGCCUGGAACAGGAGCGGGAUCGUUUGAUUGCUGAGGUGAAGAAGCAGCUGGAACUGGAAAAGCAACAAGCAGUGGAUGAGACCAAGAAGAAGCAAUGGUGUGCCAACUGCAAGAAAGAGGCCAUCUUUUAUUGCUGUUGGAAUACCAGCUACUGUGACUACCCCUGCCAACAAGCUCACUGGCCUGAGCAUAUGAAAUCUUGCACACAGUCAGCUACUGCGACACAGCAAGAAACAGAUACUGAAAUUAGCACAGAAACACUAAAUAAAUCCUCCCAGCCCAGUUCAAGUGUGCAGUCUACACCCACAGAAACAGCUAGCACUCCUAAGGAAAAGGAAGGUUCAGCUGAUAAAAGCAAAGAGAGUGUUACAGACCCAUCAAUGUAGCUUCUGGUCUGGAUCUUUCGAUACAAGUUGCCUUCUGAUAAGCAAUACUGACUGCAGCACUUCCAAGCCCUUCUUGCCUGGGGGUUCAGAGGCCAAGCUCAAGACCUGCAUUCAAACCAACUUACUUUCUCACCACAGACUGCCAUUAGGGUACCACAAUGUUCCAUAACACUGAUACAACACUUCACCUGGAUCUACGGUUAACGGAGCAGUUUUGAAAUCCUCCAUAGCAUCUACUCUGAUAGUUUUCAGUAGGCAAGGAUGAGCAAAUGCUCUAAAAAAAAAGGGACUUAACAUUGCAUAUAUAGAAAAUGUUUAUAGAGAAGAUUCUGCUUUAUAGAUAGCAACAGGUGUGACAAGCACCCAGCCUAUAAAACUGGUCCAGGUACCGCAGACCACCACCUAUAUUCCAACUACUCAACCCACAAUUGUAAGUACAGCAUCAUCAUUUAAAGUCUGCAGCAAUGCUGUUCCUGGCAUUAAAAUUGCUCAGUAUCUCUGGGGGGUUGUCUCCGUCUGCUGUUGUAUCAAGAGAUGAAUUCACUGGUAUAGUCUCAACUUGCAGUGCAAAAUGCUUUAUUUUGCUGUGCAACAUUCCACCCUUUCAUUCCAUUUGUGAUUGCAAGAUUUAGAAAUCUUUAAGUCUGGCAAAGGCACUGAGGACAGGCAGAGGCCAUUUCACAUUACUGGUCUGUUUCAUGUAUAUACUUGACCACAACAUCAAUGUAAAUAUAUAGAAUUCAUUUAAAAUAUCUUUUAAAUAUCGUUUUGUCUAUGGUAUCCUAAAGAGAUUUAGAGAUUUAAUUAUUUCUGAGCAAUGCUUGAUACUCCUGUGACAUCUCAGUAUCUGUGAAAAAGAAUAUGCAUUUGUCAGCAGUGUCUCUCCCAUGCAGUCUUGCACAUUAGCAUUAUGAAACGAGAAAUCGCAUUGGAAUCAGACCUGGGUUUUUUCCAUCAAAGGCUUAACCAAGGACAUCCGAAUUCCCUAGUGUCAGUCACAGUAGAUGGGACAAAAGUGAGUUGGAUUUUUGUAUUCUGUACACCAUAUUAGCCCAUUGUUUCAGCUGUUGGUGCUCUGCAGUGCUCAUGUCAGAGCCAGCUACUGAGCUGAUGCUGCCCUGGUCACGGCACGUGCUCUGCCUCUGCUGGGUUCAGCAGGGAAGCCCAUGUGUGGGUAACUUCAUUUCUGACUUAAAACACUGUUAUAAACCAUCUGAUUUACCAGUGUAGCUUACCCACACUGUGACUGUGAGGCCUGAUGUGCUGUAGAUGUUCCUCUGUGUCUCUCUUUCCCUGUGCACACCCCAGCUGCAGGACACACCUGUGUGUGUGUUGGUGGAUACACACUCAUGCACAAACAGUACUUCACAACCAUCAGAUUCCACACAAACACAGCUCUUGGUGGGGAUGCAGACUUCCCACAUUCCUCACAGCAUUUCAAUUCCACUUGGUCUCACCUGAGACCACUGUGCACCGUUGCAGCAUUGGCCCUGAGUUGCUUGGACUGAACUACCAUUAACAAUAAGGUUUUGUAUGUGUUUUAAAAUCCAAUAGCAGACUUCUAAGACAUCAGGCUUCUUUUGUGAAUAGCUGCGAGGUUUUAAGAUCCUACGGUGGUUUUGUGUAAUCAGAAAAAUGGCAGUUACCCUCAUCUGUUUUCUGUAACACAAAGUGUAUUGAGUUAUGUAAAGCAGAAUUGGAAGGUGUGAAAGGUUUCCAACUUUAUUUGUGCAUGUUUAUAACUUUGUACACAUUUGCAUUAGUCUUGCACAGCUACAGACACCUCUGUAUUCUAAUGACUGCACGUGCAAUUUAAAUAAUUUUAAACCUUAGUGCAUGUUUAAUAUGUAUGCAAAAUGUACAUAUGUGUAAAACUGGCAGAGGUGGAAAAUUUACCUCUCAGGGAAUGAUCUUAACACAUUUAAGGAGUCUCGCACAUUCCAUAUUCUGAUCGUGCUAAGAACUGAAAUUAAUUAAUUAAUUAAUUCCAUGUGUGUAAGUGUGUAUAUUUAAAAGGCAACUGUGGCAACCUUAAUUUCCCCACCUCUAGUACUGACAGUGACUUACAUAAUGGCUUCUUUAGAAUUCAGUUUGCACUUUGUGUCCAACUAGAAACAACUUCCAUUGUAUCUUCUGGGUACCAUUUCCACUGAACCUUGUAAACACGUCUGAAAUCAUUACAAAAUGGCAGUAAUUUUGAAUUUAUUUAGCAAAUUGGUCCCAUGUUUGUUUUUUAUUCUUCCUGCAGUUAAAAUAAUGUAAAAAUAUGAACCCAUCUUCUUUGCAUUCCAGGGAAUGGAAUGAGUAGGCUUCUGGAAGGCACAGACUCAGUCACAAAGGAGCUGUAAUCCAUCUCAGCAGGGAUACUCAGAGUCUUUGUGGAAUAUCAUUAAGACACUCAUGUGGUUUCUUGAAUCAGUGUGGGGAAACAUUGGGCUUCAGUGAACUUGUAUUUGUUCUUCCAUGUCCUCUCUGGAAUGUCACACUACCACUGGGGGAAGAUCUGUGCAUCCCUUUCAGGUUCCUCAAAAUCUCACUCCCUGUUCCUUCCACAAGAUGUUGUGAACUGAAAUGGAUGCGUUUGUCUGAUCACCAGUUGUGCACCACUGGAAUUGUGUCGGAACACACUUUGCAGUUUGUACGGUAGAGACAUUUCUAGACUUUCUCACGUUUUUGGAGGAAGGUUAAGAUACAGACUUUAGGUUCAAUAAAUCCUCUUACAGAUCUCCAGAGUGAUGUGACCUUGACCAGAUUGUUUAACAUUCUUGUGCCUUUGUCUCUGCAUCUGUAGAAUCAAUUACCACCUAUAGAGAUGUCCUGAAACUCCAUUUGUUGAGAUGUAUAAAUCAUGAUCAGUAUGAUGGAAGUGUAAAGUUUAUUCUAUAUUAAUAUUUUUACAGGGUGUGUAAGACAGUUCCCAGUAAUGCUGAUGUUUUUGCUAUUGAUUUGUGCAGAAGUUAACUUAAGUACUUUUUUUUGUUCAAAUGGAUGUUCUUUGUUCUCUUCUGUGUAGACUGAAUGCAUGGGGGAAAGUUCCUUUUGGGGAAAAAGAUUUAAGUAACGUGUAACGAGAAUAUACUUAUAAACAAGGGUAUUUUUGUACUCCA